rnacentral:rRNA from 1 species
UGAGGAAUAUUGGGCAAUGCCCGAAAGGGUGACCCAGCAACGCCGCGUGGAGGAUGAAUGCCGUAAGGUUGUAAACUCCUGUUAGAGGGGAAGAAAAAGCCCGAUCGACUCGGGAACUGACUGUACCCUCAGAGAAAGCCCCGGCUAACUACGUGCCAGCAGCCGCGGUAAUACGUAGGGGGCAAGCGUUGUCCGGAUUCACUGGGUGUAAAGGGCGCGCAGGUGGGUUAGCAAGUCAGAGGUGAAAUCCUACAGCUUAACUGUAGAACUGCCUUUGAGACUGCUAAUCUUGAGUAUGGAAGAGAGAGAUGGAAUUCCAGGUGUAGUGGUGAAAUACGUAGAUAUCUGGAAGAACACCAGUGGCGAAGGCGGUCUCUUGGUCCAAUACUGACACUAAGGC